AAGUUAGGUUGUUUGAGAUCUUUCUUGUUUCUUAAUGUAGACCUUUAUCACUAUAAACUUUCCUCUUAAAACUGCUUUUGCCGCAUCCCUUAAGUUUUGGUGCAUUACGUUUCCAUCUUCAUUUGUCUCAGGUAUUUUUUUAUUUCCCUUUUGAUUUCUUCUCUGAGCCACUGGCUAUUCAGAUGUUUAGUUUUCAUGUAUUUGCACUUUUCCUGCUUCCCUCCCAUUACUGAUUUCUAGCUGCAUAGCUUCAUGUAGUCAAAAAAGACAUUGUGACUUCAGUCCUCUUAAAUUUAAGACUGGUUUCAUGAUCUUCCAAGUGAUCCUGGAGAAUCUUCCAUGAACGUUGAUAAGAAUGUGUGUUCUGCUACUAUUCAGGGGGCGGGUGGGGAGAAGGUAUUCUGGGCGUCUCUUAGAUCCAUUUGUUCCACUACAGUGUCAUUCCAGUCAGUAUUUCCUUAUUGACUUUCUGUCUGAUCUAUCCGUUAUUGAAAGUGAGGUAUUCAGAAGUCUAUACUGUUUACAUCUUUUGAUUGGAAAACUUAAUCCAUUUACAUAUAAAGUAAUUACUGAUAAGUAAGGACUUACUCUUGCCAUCUUGUUCAUUGUUUUCUGGCUUUGUAGUUCUUUAUUCCUUUCUUCCUCUCAUGCUAUCUUCCUUUGUGAUUUGAUGAUUUUUCAUAGAAGAAUGCUUUGUUUUGUCUUUUGCAUACUAAAGCUAUUUGUGAUAAUAUGAGCCUUACAUUAAAAACAUAGUUAUAAAUAAGUCCAUUUUGAGCUGGGAACUUCAACUGCACACCAAACUCUACACUUCUACUUCCCGCACACAUAUUUCAUGUUUGGUAACGCAAUGUACAUCUUUUUUACAUUGUGUAUCCAUUAGAAAUUACUGUAAAUAUAGUUAUUUUUAAUACUUUUGACUUUUAACAUUCAUACUCAAGUGGUUUGUACACAACCAUCAUACUCUGGAUGACCAUAUGCUUACUUUCACCAGUGAGUUUUACACUUUCAUGUCUUUUCAUGUUACUAAUUAGGAUCCUUUCACUUCAGCUUGAAGAAUUCUCUUUAGCAUUCUGGUAUGGCAGGUCUAGUGGUGUUGAACUCCCUCAGCUUUCAUCUGAGAAAGGCUUUCUCCUUUAUUUCUGAAGGACAGCUUUGCCAAUAUUCUUGGCUGUCAAGUAUGUUUUACUUUCAAAACUGCAAAUAUAUCAUUCCAUUCUCUCCUGGCCUGCAAGGUUUCUGCAGAGAAAUCUGCUGAAAGCCUUUUGGGUAUUCACCUGUUUGAAAUGAAGUGGGUAUUUUUUUUUUUUUCUCUGUCUUGCUGUUUUCAAAUUUCUGUCUUGAUUUUUGAUACUUGAAUGUGUCUUGGUGAGGUCUUCUUUGGGUUCAAUCUAAUUGGGGACCUGUAAGAUUCAUGUGCCGAGACGUACAUAACUCUUACUAGAUUUGGGAAUUUCUUAAAUAAGCUUUCUGACCUUUCUUUCUCUCUUCUUCUGGGACUCCCACAAUGCAGAUAGUAGUUGCUUGAUAGUGCCCCCAAAUUCACAUAUGCUUUCUUCGCUUUUUUCAUUCUUCUUUCUUUUUUCUCCUAUGACUAGUUAAUUUCAAAUAACCUGUCUUGAAGUUAACAAAUUCUUUCCUCUGUUUGAUCAAGUCAGCUAUUCAUGCUGUCUAUUGCAUUUUUUACUUCAUUCACUGUAUUCUUCAGCUCCAAUAUUUGUUGGUUCUUUUCAUGAUUUCUAUUUCUCUACUGAACUUCUCAUUUUCCUCACGUAUUUUUUGUUGAGUUGUCUCAUGUAUUCUGUUAACCUUAAAAAUAAAACUGUUAUUUUGCCCAAAAAAAAAGGGGGGGGGGUUAUUCUUAACAGAGAAUUUCAAUCUGGGACAAGCUAGCUAUGGUAAAACAACAGGCAAGUCUGGAGAAGAAGUCCAAAAAGGAGGCUCUUUUAUAGAGGAGGGGGGUGUAGGGAGGGGCUGUUG